rnacentral:rRNA from 1 species
CCUACGGGUGGCAGCAGUAGGGAAUAUUGCACAAUGGGGGAAACCCUGAAGCAGCAACGCCGCGUGGAGGAUGAAGGUUUUCGGAUUGUAAACUCCUUUUGUUAGAGAAGAUAAUGACGGUAUCUUACGAAUAAGCACCGGCUAACUCCGUGCCAGCAGCCGCGGUAAUACGGAGGGUGCAAGCGUUACUCGGAAUCACUGGGCGUAAAGAGCUGGGAGGCGGGAAAGAAAGUCAGAUGGUAAAUCCUAGGGCUUAACCAUAGAACUGCAUUUGAAACUGUUAUUCUAGAGUAUGGGAGAGGUAAGUGGAAUUCUUAGUGUAGGGGUGAAAUCCGUAGAGAUCAGGAGGAAUACUCAUUGCGAAGGCGACCUGCUAGAACAGUACUGACGCUGAUGCGCGAAAGCGUAGGGAGCAAACAGGAUUAGAUACCCCUGUAGUC